GAUUUUUUUUUGCGAUUAACGAUUCGUUUUCUUGUUCUUUGUCCGGCCGUCACCCCCGGAAUUGGAUUCUAACUCCACGUUUUCUGGCCGCCUUAAUUUCUAACUCUCCCCAUAAAUCUGCUCGGGAAGAAGCGGCGAGGGCUGAUCUCGUGGAGGCGGAGGCGGAGCAGCAGCCAAGGACGCCUCUGCUUCGAAGUCUACCCCCGUUCUCCCUCCAUGCGAACGCCGGCGAGAUCAAGCGUGGCGGCGCGCGGGAAUCCGGUCGCGAAUCUAAGCAUUAAGAGACACCUAAGGCGGGAGAGCUGAGGCCGGCGGCGCCCUCCACUUAAGCGCCAUCGGCUGCGCGACAAGAGAACUCCUACCCGUCCGUGGGUGUGGGGAUGCAGAUCCCCGUCGCUAGCCUGCACAAGGCCACGGUUGAUGCGCCGACGCAGGGGUCACCGCCGUCUUCGUCAGGUGACUUUUUCAUGCCAUUUAUACAUCUGAAAAGUAGAGAAUACCCUCUAAAUCAAAGCAACAGAUUUGUGGAUUUGUGGAAUUGGUGUUGUUCCGUUUCCACCUGGCCAAUCAUCUUUGGUCACUGAUUCUGAGGUACGUGGUUGUUUUAUGUUAAUCCCAUUUAGUUUUGCACUUCAUGGCCUGGGUGGCCGCUGGACACCCGGCACACGGUCUAGAUCAGCCCUAACAUUCAGGCCAUUAGCUUAAAAAAUGUUGGUAGCUGAACACGUAAAUCAUCUACAGCUGUUGUAAAAGGAGACUACUGUUUGUUGACAAUCACACAUCAGUGCUGCUGUACUGUAUGAUUUUUCUUUUAUGAUUGUUUCCGUUUGAGCCUUGUAGCUGUACUUUCUAUGGUUCCUAACAUGGUUGUAGGUUAGAUGUUUCUGUUGGUUUGUCUUGCUGUAGAAUCUGCCAAUAUUCAUUUGUUACACAUUUUAUUAUGUAGAUGUACUUUCUGUGGUUCCUAACAUGGCUGCUUUACAGAAUAUUGAUGGGGGUAACACAAACAUGGGAGGCCUAUUAACUUCUGCUGCAGACCUAAAUUUCUUGCAGAUUUAAUUCAUUUGUAUUCAUGUAAUUGGUCGAGGUGAGAAUGAUAUGCCGUUGUUCAUGCCAAAGGCUGUGACACAUUUCUUUCUUUUUGCGAUAGUGCAAAUUGAUUGAUGAUGCAGCGCAACUAGCACAAGUUCAUCAUAUGGCUGUCUGCAUCACUAUGAUAUAGAGGCCCGGGGUUUAAUCUCCUUUUCAAAAAAGCACAAGUUCAUCGUGUCCUCUCCACAUCUAUGGAUAUCAGGUUCAAUAUCCAUGAUUUCUUAUCGAGUUAUUACUCGACCUUUUUUAAUCAUGGUACAAUAGUCGAUUUUUUAAAUAAAAAAACGACCUCCAUGGAUGUCACCCGCCAUUGGCAUUUAGCGAGCCAAUAUAUCACUACUUUGAUGGAUACAAUAGAAGUAAUUAUGUACACAUAUACGUGAUUCUAAAUUGUACUUAACAUGGGGUAUUUAAUUCUUUUAGCAGAUUAAACGAUCAUGUUGCUCUCUAAGUAAGUUGAGGAAAAGGAGCACAAUCCAGAGUCCGCCACCUAUGUUUCUAUUAUGGCAUCACCUACGAGCUGGUCCUAUGCGUUCAGUCUGCACAUGCGCUGAACGAGCCAUCCACUAUUUGGUGCCGCUGCUGGCUAAUCAUGGUUAUGGGUUGCUGAUGUAUUGGAGUUCGACCACUCUGAGAAAGGCGAUGCUCUGCAUGGUAAGUUUCUUAUGGCUGUGGCUGUUUUUCCUGAUGUGUUCACAUGAGGGGUAUAUUUUAGGUAUGUAGUUAUUUUGGUCCAGAUGUUGACAAAGGAUGAAGCAUGUGAUUUUCAAGAGGCAAGUUCCCUUGGAUAAUUAUGUGCAUUCUGAUGAGUACGUACCUGAGAAAAAUUCAAGAGGCUUUAGUGAGUUGAUUGUGCCCACAAGAGGUUGUCUUGCUUAGACUUGGUGUAACACAUGUCUAUGUAUCAGUAAAUUGAGAUGUUGUUACCGGGAUAUCAAUUCCGCUACCA